rnacentral:tRNA from 1 species
CCGGUUAGCUCAAUCGGUAGAGCGUGAGACUCUUAAUCUCAAGGUUGCGGGUUCGACCCCCGCAUCGGG